AGCACCGGAAGCAGCAGCUGCAGCGACAGCAGCACCGGGAGCAGAAGCCAAUAUAACUUGUUCAACAGCAGCACAGAAGCAGCAGCGGCUGAAGGCAGAGCAGCGCUGUCAGCAGCAGCCAAUCUAAAUAGUUGAAUGCCAGAAGCCAGCAGCAGCAGGAACAGCGGCAAAACAGCGGCAAAGCAGCAGCCAUGCAGCAGCCAAACAACAGCCAUGCAGCAGGGAUGCAGCAGGCAUGCAGCAGCAAAGCAGGAGCAAAACAGCAGCAGAACAGCAGAAAUGCAGCAGCAAAACAGCAGCAAUGCGGCAGCAAAACAGCAGCAAACAGCAGCAAAGCAGCAGCAAAGCAGCAGCAAAACAGCGGCCAAACAGCAUUAGAACAACGGCCAAACUGCAGCAAAAUAGCGGCAAUGCAGCAGCAAAGCAAAUAAUUUCUUCAGCAGCGCCGGAUGCAACAGCAGCAGGGACAACAGCAAAACAGCAGCAACGGCAGCAGUUUGUAUAGCUUGUUGAACAGCAGCGGAAGCAGCAGCAAGAGCAGCGGCAAAACCAUCAGCAUCAGCAACAACAGCCAGUGUAGCUAGUUCAACAGCAGCAGCAAAAGCGACAGCAUGAGCAGCAGCAGCAGACGAAAUAAGCCUCGAAGCAGCAGCAGCGAAUAUAAUAGUUAUAUAACAAGCAGCAGCAGCACGAACAGGUGAGCGCAAUCAGCAGCGUUAACAGUAGCGCCCUCCUCAGCAGUGGAAGCAGCACCGGAAGCAGCAGCGGAUGUAGUAGUAGCAGUUGUAACAGCAGCACUUGUACUCGUAUUUGCAGCGAUGUUUUGACUGGUUUCCAUCUUUUUUUUUUGUCCCAAACAAAGACGGAAGCGAAAAAGUUCCAGAAUGCUAACGACCACAACACCAACAACACCAACAACAGCAACAACACGAACAACGAUCACGGGAUUAAGGAAGAAAGGGACAACAUGAACAACAGCAGCAACAACAAUAUCAUACAACAACAACAACAGCAACCACAGCGACUCGACGACGACGUCGGCAAUGGCGGCGACGGGUACUUUAAACGGAGGUGCAAUAAGAGGUAAGAGGGCAAUGCUAGAAACAGCAGCAACUAAUAACAACUGCAACAGCAAGAGCAUCAUCAUCAUCAUCAUCAUCAUCAAACACAACAACAACAACAAUAUCAAAGACAAUCAGUAGUUGUUUAAGAAUCCCUGUUUCGGACAAUUCAUCUUUUGUUCAUUCUCUCUCUCUCUCUCUCUCUCUCUCUCUCUCUCAUUCUGCAUGCAAACACAUACACGUACACACACACACACACACUCUCUCUCUCUCUCUCUCUCUCUCUCUCUCCUCUCUCUCUCUCUAUCUAUCUAUCUCUAUCUAUCCCACAAACACACAUACACACAGACACGCACUCGCGCACACACGCACGACCAUGUUCUCUCUCUCUCUCUCUCUUCCCGUCAGUCUUACCCUCUCUUUCGCUCUCGUUCUCUCUCUCUUCCUCUCAUGUUCACUAUAUCGAUUUCUUUUGAUCUUUCCGCACACACGCAAAACUUUUACUUUUUGGCGCCACAAUUAUAUAUACCAACGUACGUGUACUCUUUAGUACUCUUUACUCUUUUACUCGUUUCAGUCAUUUGACUGCGGCCAUGCUGGAGCACCGCCUUUAGUCGAGCAAAUCGACCCCGGGACUUAUUCUUUGUAAGCCCAGUACUUAUUCUAUCGGUCUCUUUUGCCGAACCGCUAAGUUACGGGGACGUAAACACACCAGCAUCGGUUGUCAAGCGACGUUGGGGGGACAAACACAGACACACAAACAUACACACAUACAGUCGAAGCGUUCCUGUCACAAUCUAAACCCGAUGAAUGCUUAAAUGCAUGAAAGUAUACUAGUUCAAUGAGAAUAGACACUUAAUAUUUGAUUUUCAAUAUUUCAUCUAUUCAAUAAGACAAUCAAUACUUCAUUUCAUUUCUUUCUUACUAUAUAUAUUUUAUAUCCUAUAUUAAUAUUAUAAGAAUAUAAAUAAUGCAUAAAAAUCAGAGUUGGAAUUCCUUUGAGCAAUAUAUUCUUCUAUACACAAUCAUACAAAUCCAUUUGUAUAUAUACAUACAUACAUACAUACAUACAUACAUACAUACAUAUAUAUAUAUAUAUAUAUAUAUAUAUAUAUAUAUAUAUAUACAUACAUACAUAUAUAUAUAUAUAUAUAUAUAUAUAUAUAUAUAUAUAUAUAUAUAUAUUUAUAAAUUCAAGUCAUAAUAUUUGGAUUUAACUAAUCCAGUGUUAUAUAUAUAUAUGUGUGUGUGUGUGUGUGUGUGUGUGUGUAUAACUUUGAACGGUUCCAGCCAGUAUAGGCCAAUGCCAUGUCUAACUCAAUGGCACCACUUGGUGAAGUUUUUUAGUCAUAUAUGGGACUCCAUAGCUCACUCUAAUAAAGUGUUAUUAGUGUUGGAGACAUAUCCGGGUGCAGGAGGUUGAUCCAGGAUUCUUUGAA
rnacentral:lncRNA from 1 species